GACGAACGCUGGCGGCGUGCUUAACACAUGCAAGUCGAACGGAAAGGCCCUGCUUUUGUGGGGUGCUCGAGUGGCGAACGGGUGAGUAACACGUGAGUAACCUGCCCUUGACUUUGGGAUAACUUCAGGAAACUGGGGCUAAUACCGGAUAGGAGCUCCUGCUGCAUGGUGGGGGUUGGAAAGUUUCGGCGGUUGGGGAUGGACUCGCGGCUUAUCAGCUUGUUGGUGGGGUAGUGGCUUACCAAGGCUUUGACGGGUAGCCGGCCUGAGAGGGUGAACGGCCACAUUGGGACUGAGAUACGGCCCAGACUCCUACGGGAGGCAGCAGUGGGGAAUAUUGCACAAUGGGCGGAAGCCUGAUGCAGCAACGCCGGGUGCGGGAUGACGGCCUUCGGGUUGUAAACCGCUUUCGCCUGUGACGAAGCGUGAGUGACGGUAAUGGGUAAAGAAGCACCGGCUAACUACGUG
rnacentral:rRNA from 1 species